rnacentral:lncRNA from 1 species
CGAUAUUUGACCGACUUUGACAUGAAAUUAAACUGUUUUAAGUAGUAUUUUUCGCCAGAUAUAUGUUUUAAUAUACUUAAUCGAUUUGCAAAGUUUGUUUUUAAUGUACGGAAUUUCUUUAUUUUUUGUACAAGUAGACAUGGGUAUCGGUAAUUUAGCAUGGAGGCAACGGAGAAAUGACGAGAAAAGUGCAUGUUUUUACAAGUCUAAAAUGACCGACUUUAAUCAAAAAUUAAACUGUUAGGACCAACAUUGUUUGAUAAAAAUAUGUUUGAAUAUCAAGGAUUGAUUUGCAAAACUUAGAAAACUGGUCAGGUUUAUGAGAAAAUUAAACUUUAUUGAAGCAUCUAUGCAUUUUAUAUGGGGAAAUAUAAUACAAAAUGGCGGCCAGAAUACGUCACAAAAGUCACGUGAUGUCUUACUUAGUUGGAGAUGUCUUCUUAUAUGCAAUGAAAGAUACAGACGGACGUGUGGAAUGCAAGAUUAACCUCCCAAUCUAGGAGAAGAGGUAACAAAUAUUAUUUUUGUCGAGAUUAUUGCGGAACAACGACUUUUUUAGUUUGUACAUUACCAUUGC